rnacentral:pre_miRNA from 1 species
CCUCCAAAGGGAAGCGCUUUCUGUUUGUUUUCUCUUAAACAAAGUGCCUCCCUUUAGAGUGU